GGCUCAGUAGCAGAGGGUCUGCAUCUGCUUUCAAUUUUCAAAGCCUUUUGGUGCUCUCUUGUGUAGAUAAAGCCUGUUCAACUCGGGCCUGAGCCA